rnacentral:rRNA from 1 species
CGGUCCAGACUCCUACGGGAGGCAGCAGUGGGGAAUAUUGCACAAUGGGCGCAAGCCUGAUGCAGCCAUGCCGCGUGUAUGAAGAAGGCCUUCGGGUUGUAAAGUACUUUCAGCGGGGAGGAAGGCGGUGAGGUUAAUAACCUCAUCGAUUGACGUUACCCGCAGAAGAAGCACCGGCUAACUCCGUGCCAGCAGCCGCGGUAAUACGGAGGGUGCAAGCGUUAAUCGGAAUUACUGGGCGUAAAGCGCACGCAGGCGGUCUGUCAAGUCGGA